GGAUGUGAGUGCGAUCUGGCUGCAACAUCUGUCACCCCAUUGAUUGCCAGGGUUGAUUUGGCUGAUCUGUCUGGCUCUACAGGUGUUCCCUUCCUCCUUCACUGCUCCAUGUGUGUCGCUCCUGAAGCUGCAUGCUCGGCUGAAGAAGACGACCUUCCCUGAUAGAGAUGUACCAUUCAUCAGUCAAGGGUAUACAGUAGCUGCGCUCCCCUGCUAGAAACUCCAAACAAAGAAAUACAAAGCUUGACAGAAAACAGGCUGCUUGGUGGAGGAGUUUGGCUAUAAGGCUGAAUCUUUCCUUUCAUUAAAUGAAGUAAGGAA
rnacentral:snRNA from 1 species